rnacentral:rRNA from 1 species
CGGACGGGUGAGCAACGCGUGGAAAACCUGCCGUAUACUGGGGGAUAACACUUAGAAAUAGGUGCUAAUACCGCAUAAGCGCACAGCUUCGCAUGAAGCGGUGUGAAAAACUCUGGUGGUAUACGAUGGUUCCGCGUCUGAUUAGCUAGUUGGUGGGGUAAUGGCCUACCAAGGCAACGAUCAGUAGCCGGCCUGAGAGGGUGAACGGCCACAUUGGGACUGAGACACGGCCCAAACUCCUACGGAAGGCAGCAG